rnacentral:rRNA from 1 species
CGUAGGCGGCCUUCUAAGUCGAACGUGAAAUCCCCGGGCUCAACCCGGGAACUGCGUCCGAUACUGGAAGGCUUGAAUCCGGGAGAGGGAUGCGGAAUUCCAGGUGUAGCGGUGAAAUGCGUAGAUAUCUGGAGGAACACCGGUGGCGAAGGCGGCAUCCUGGACCGGUAUUGACGCUGAGGCGCGAAAGCCAGGGGAGCAAACG